AUAGUAGACGAAAUUGGGAACGGGCCCCAAUAAUAGUUAUUAGAUUUUUAAUAUAAUAACGUUAAUGGUUCGUCGUGUACGAUCCUCUGCGAGUUGUUUAUCUUCACAGCAGAUUACGUAAGUAAGAGUUUGGAGCAUUUAUAAAAUGGGACAACAUUUUGUUAGUAUU
rnacentral:ncRNA from 1 species